rnacentral:rRNA from 1 species
AAAUCUUCCGGCUUAACCGGAAGGCGUCUCAGGGAUACUGGCAAACUAGGGACCGGAAGAGGUGAGGGGUACUCCAGGGGUAGGAGUGAAAUCCUGUAAUCCUUGGGGGACCACCUGUGGCGAAGGCGCCUCACCAGGACGGCUCCGACAGUGAGGGACGAAAGCUGGGGGAGCAAACCGGAUUAGAUACCCGGGUAGUCCCAGCCGUAAACGAUGUGCGUUAGGUGUAUCGGUGACCACGAGUCACCGAGGUGCCGAAGAGAAAUCGUGAAACGUACCGCCUGGGAAGUACGGUCGCAAGGCUGAAACUUAAAGGAAUUGGCGGGGGAGCACCACAACAGGUGGAGCCUGCGGUUUAAUCGGACUCAACGCCGGAAAACUCACCAGAUAAGACAGCUGAAUGAUAGUCGGGCUGAAGACUCUACUUGACUAGCUGAGAGGAGGU